AGUAAAAGUCGUAACAAGGUUUCCGUAGGUGAACCUGCGGAAGGAUCAUUAAUGAAACGUUUGCCGUGAAGGGUUGUAGCUGGCCCCCCGGGGCACACGUGCACGCCCGGAUCGCAUCCACCUCCAACACCUGUGCACAACCUGUAGCCUGGGAUGAUCACGAGGCCCUCGUUGGCCGCGAAUGCCCUCGUCUACGAGUAUUUCACACACACCAGCAGUCACAUGGAAUGUACACACGAAGCGUCUAACAAGCGCAACGAAUACAACUUUCAACAACGGAUCUCUUGGCUCUCGCAUCGAUGAAGAACGCAGCGAAAUGCGAUAAGUAAUGUGAAUUGCAGAAUUCAGUGAAUCAUCGAAUCUUUGAACGCACCUUGCGCUCCUUGGUAUUCCGAGGAGCAUGCCUGUUUGAGUGUCAUGAAAUUCUCAACUGCCCCAAGCUUUUUGUGGGCGAGGUUGGAUCYUUGGAGGACGUUGCUGGUGCGUGCUCCGUGCACGCUUGUCGGCUCCUCUCGAAUGCAUGAGCUUUCCGGUCCUUGGCAAAGUAUCGUCGAUGUGAUAGUUAUCUGCGUCGUCUGAGAAAAGCCGUGUAAGGGGAAAUCUACGAUCGUAUCGGCCCUUCGGGGUUCCGUGUCUGACAAAUUCGACCUCAAAU
rnacentral:rRNA from 1 species